GACCGGGCGAGGCGGAGCUGGGGAGCCGAGCCAAGCGGGUUUGUGUGCCUAUGGGAACCUUCCGGGUGGGGCUGCUGCGGACCUGGGACCGGGGCGGGAUAGGGUGAGGCUGGAGAUUGCUCGCGUGCUCCCGAUCCUUAUCUGCGCCGGUUGGGGUGUCCCGUGCUGGGCUUGGUAACCUUACGUUCUUUGCUCCUGCGCGCUAGGCUCAGGACUGCCUAGCAGUGCAGCACUACAGCUAUCUGGCUCUCCUGCUGUGUCGCUCUUAAAUGCGUGUCUGGAGUUCCUCUGGCGAAUGGUGGGCUGUUUGUCUCAUUUCCUCUGAUGAGAUACUUGAGGGAUCCUUGUUGAAAAAACAUCAGCAUCCCCCUUCUGACUGAGCAAAGAGGCAAAAACCAUGGAGUCUGACUGCAACAAACCAGGAAGACAAAUCUGAUUGGCUGCUGGCUUUUUGCUCACAACCACCUUUGGUGAAUUUUGUGAAACACAAUGUAUCAAAUUAUUUAAAAAAAUCCUUUCCCUUCUACACGCGUAACUGGUGUUUAAGGUUGAGUGUGUGUGUGUGUGUGUGUGUGUGUGUGUGUGUGUGUGUAUCUGUGGUGUUAGAGCUGGGAUGUGUGUCUGUGAGUCUGGUGUUUGAGAAGGGUUGCUGGGUUCCUGUGUGGUAUAGCUUAGGGCACAUUAGUAUUGAACUAAUGGGAAGACAACAUGACUUGUUUCUAACUCUUCAUUUAUACAUUAUUGAAUAUAACCUUUUUUUCUUAUCAGUUUUAACUGUUAAGGGAGACUAACAGAUAUAUCCCUCAGAGGGUGGAAGGGUGGGUUCUUAGUGUACUUUAACAUCUAAAGGUCCCUGUGGUAACUGGACUUCCCAGAUCUCCCCGCCCCCAAAAGCCCCUGACCUGAGUCACUUUUCCGGAGCAAGUCUCUUCCAGGGUAUUUCCUUGCAGGUGGCUGUUCCUAGGGAAGUCAUUUGUCCAGAUUCUUGGCUUUGAUUCCUCUCCAAGACAGAGUGGCACUCUAAGACCUCUGGCGUCAAGAUGGUCACGACCUGCGCACCCAGGAAGGAAGACGCUGGAGCCAGGGGGGAGAUAAACAGGGUUCUGGAAGGGCCUCCCGACUACAGUAGCGGAUCAGACUCAGGAUCACCCAGUGGUCUAACACAGGCUCAGCCUGGCUCUCUGGGCAUCUGGAAUUCUCCCGAUGAAAUCUGCAAGAAACUGCAGGAGGAAAGUUCGAAACUGCAGAGACCCCAGAGAUGGCACAGGAAGGAGCUGGGUCUGACUGAGGCUACUGCACACCUCAUCUGGUGGCCACUGUGAAUUGUAAUUUGAAAGGAAUCAACCAGAAGCACUUUCUUUCCGUUGCUAGCUGGGGAACUACCCCAGGACCUGCGCAUUAUUCUCUGGAGAGCCCGAGUGGGGUUGCGAUGUUAUGCAAAUCGAGCUUAAAAGACACCAAGCGAAGAGGAAAUCGAAAUCAACAGAGUAAACUCGUAUGAAAUCUGGAACAUUCACCACACCAGGAUCUUAAAAUCUGGGGUUUUAAGGAUGCAUAGGAGCCAAGAUGUCAGAAUGUGACCAGAAGUUGGAAAAAAAAGAUGCCCACAUCAAAUAAGUACUGAAAAGAUGAGGAAAAAGAAGUUGAUUUCCAGGAAAGAAAAACGAAUAAUCUGGGGAGCUGAAGAGAUAACUUAUUGGUUAAGAGCGUGUGUUGCUUUUCUGGAGAACUCAGGUUUAAUCUCUAGCACCUACAUGGUAGCUCACAAGCAUCUAUAACUACAAUCCGAGAAUAUCUAAUUCCCUCUCCUAGCCUCUGCAGGCAAUGAAUGCACACGCCACCCAUUAAUGCAGGUAAAACACCCACACAAAAUGAAUAAGAAAAAGAAAAAGAUUUUUGUGAUGACUCACCAGAUGGAAGUCAAAUUUCACUUAAAAAUGCAAGUAUAGAUGCACACCUAAAUGGCACAGGGUUUAAAGACAAGUGACCCCGGGAGUUUGGAAUCGAGUUGUAGGUUUGUAACCCAGAGUCAUCUGGCAGGAGCAAAUGAUAAUCACCUCUGGAAGUGAAUUUGACUUCUCUAGGUUCCUGUAGAUGAAGAUUAGCCAGUGCUUAGAAGUCAGAGGCAACAGGGUUGCCUCAAGUUUGAGACUAGCCAGGCCAGUCAUAGCUACAGAGCAACAGUCUGUUACAAACAACAACAACAAAACCCAAACACACACUCACACGCACACGCGCGCGCGCGCACACACACACACACACACACACACACACACCAAAACAAAUAAAAUGGCAAAACACCUAAAUGUAUUUCUUUUUUAAGUUCCAUAAGAUUUAAAAAAUUCACUGGGCAAGUUAAUGCAGGAUUUUGAUCCCAGCACUUGGAAGAGAGAGGCAGGCAGAUCUCUUUGAGCUCCAAGCCUAGCUUACAAAGUGAUCCCUGCCCCUGGCCAGCUAGGACUGCAUAGUAAGACCUUACAAUACCCCCCCCCCCCCCCCGCCUUUAAAAAAUGCAAAGCUAAGCAUGGUGAUAUCUGCUUGCAAUCCCAGCACUUGGGAGGCUGAGACAGGAGGAUCACCACUAAUUUGAGGCCAGACUGGGCUACAUAGAGGAUACCAAGAUAACUUCAGCUACAAGAGUGAGCCGAUUUCAACAAAGAAACAAAAUAGACAAAAAACUAACCAAGCUAAACAAUGUAUUCUAGGCUGAAUUUAAAGUUUCCCAGCCUUCUGCCUUAACCUUUCAAGUACUGGGG
rnacentral:lncRNA from 1 species